rnacentral:rRNA from 1 species
GAUGAACGCUGGCGGCGUGCCUAAUACAUGCAAGUCGAGCGAACAGACGAGGAGCUUGCUCCUCUGACGUUAGCGGCGGACGGGUGAGUAACACGUGGAUAACCUACCUAUAAGACUGGGAUAACUUCGGGAAACCGGAGCUAAUACCGGAUAAUAUAUUGAACCGCAUGGUUCAAUAGUGAAAGACGGUUUUGCUGUCACUUAUAGAUGGAUCCGCGCCGCAUUAGCUAGUUGGUAAGGUAACGGCUUACCAAGGCAACGAUGCGUAGCCGACCUGAGAGGUGGUUCGGCCACACUGGACCUGAGAAAGGGCCCAGAUCCCUAGGGGAGGCAGCGGUAGGAAUUCUGGCGAAAGGGGCGAAACCUUGACGGAGCAACGCCGGGGGAGUGAGGAAGGUCUUCGAAUCGUAAAACUCUGUUAUUAGGGAAGAACAAAGGUGUAAGUAACGAUGCACGUCUGGACGGUACCUAAUCAGAAAGCCACGGCGAACUACGG